GACGAACGCUGGCGGCGUGCUUAACACAUGCAAGUCGAACGAUGAAGCCCAGCUUGCUGGGUGGAUUAGUGGCGAACGGGUGAGUAACACGUGAGUAACCUGCCCUGGACUCUGGGAUAACCCCGAGAAAUCGGAGCUAAUACCGGAUAGGACCUUCUCCCGCAUGGGGGUUGGUGGAAAGUUUUUCGGUUUGGGAUGGACUCGCGGCCUAUCAGCUUGUUGGUGAGGUAAUGGCUCACCAAGGCGUCGACGGGUAGCCGGCCUGAGAGGGUGACCGGACACACUAGGACGGAUACACGGACAAGACGCCUACGGGAGGGAGCAGUGGGGAAUAAUGCACAAUGGGCGCAAGCCUAAUGCAGCACCUCGGCGUGCGGGAUGACGGGCUUCGGGUUGUAAACCGCUUUUAGUAAGGAAGAAGGGGCUUCGGCCUUGACGGUACUUGCAGAAAAAGGACCGGCUAACUACGUGCCAGCCGCCGCCGUAAGAC
rnacentral:rRNA from 1 species